CCUGAUCCAGCCAUGCCGCGUGUGUGAAGAAGGCCUUUUGGUUGUAAAGCACUUUAAGCGAGGAGGAGGCUACCGAGAUUAAUACUCUUGGAUAGUGGACGUUACUCGCAGAAUAAGCACCGGCUAACUCUGUGCCAGCAGCCGCGGUAAUACAGAGGGUGCAAGCGUUAAUCGGAUUUACUGGGCGUAAAGCGCGCGUAGGUGGCCAAUUAAGUCAAAUGUGAAAUCCCCGAGCUUAACUUGGGAAUUGCAUUCGAUACUGGUUGGCUAGAGUAUGGGAGAGGAUGGUAGAAUUCCAGGUGUAGCGGUGAAAUGCGUAGAGAUCUGGAGGAAUACCGAUGGCGAAGGCAGCCAUCUGGCCUAAUACUGACACUGAGGUGCGAAAGCAUGGGGAGCAAACAGGAUUAGAUACCCUGGUAGUCCAUGCCGUAAACGAUGUCUACUAGCCGUUGGGGCCUUUGAGGCUUUAGUGGCGCAGCUAACGCGAUAAGUAGACCGCCUGGGGAGUACGGUCGCAAGACUAAAACUCAAAUGAAUUGACGGGGGCCCGCACAAGCGGUGGAGUAUGUGGUUUAAUUCGAUGCAACGCGAAGAACCUUACCUGGUCUUGACAUAGUAAGAACUUUCCAGAGAUGGAUUGGUGCCUU
rnacentral:rRNA from 1 species